AGCGAACGCUGGCGGCAGGCUUAACACAUGCAAGUCGAGCGGGCCUUUCGGGGUCAGCGGCGGACGGGUGAGUAACGCGUGGGAACGUGCCCUCUGGUUCGGAAUAACUCAGGGAAACUUGAGCUAAUACCGGAUACGCCCUUUUGGGGAAAGGCUUGCUGCCGGAGGAUCGGCCCGCGUCUGAUUAGCUAGUUGGUGAGGUAACGGCUCACCAAGGCGACGAUCAGUAGCUGGUCUGAGAGGAUGAUCAGCCACACUGGGACUGAGACACGGCCCAGACUCCUACGGGAAGCAGCGGUGGGGAAUAUUGGACAAUGGGCGCAAGCCUGAUCCAGCCAUGCCGCGUGAGUGAUGAAGGCCUUAGGGUUGUAAAGCUCUUUUAUCCGGGACGAUAAUGACGGUACCGGAGGAAUAAGCCCCGGCUAACUUCGUG
rnacentral:rRNA from 1 species